rnacentral:rRNA from 1 species
AUUGAACGCUGGCGGCAUGCCUUACACAUGCAAGUCGAACGGUAACAGGUCUUCGGAUGCUGACGAGUGGCGAACGGGUAAGUAAUGCAUCGGAACGUGCCCAGUAGUGGGGGAUAGCCCGGCGAAAGCCGGAUUAAUACCGCAUACGACCUGAGGGUGAAAGGGGGGGAUCGCAAGACCUCUCGCUAUUGGAGCGGCCGAUGUCAGAUUAGCUAGUUGGUGGGGUAAAGGCCUACCAAGGCAACGAUCUGUAGUUGGUCUGAGAGGACGACCAGCCACACUGGGACUGAGACACGGCCCAGACUCCUACGGGAGGCAGCAGUGGGGAAUUUUGGACAAUGGGCGCAAGCCUGAUCCAGCAACGCCGCGUGCAGGAAGAAGGCCUUCGGGUUGUAAACUGCUUUUGUCAGGGAAGAAAUCUUCUGGGUUAAUACCUCGGGAGGAUGACGGUACCUGAAGAAUAAGCACCGGCUAACUACGUGCCAGCCGCCGCGGUAAAAC